UUUAGGGCCUCUGCUAUAUUUCUUUCUUUUAUUCCUGCUUACAUGGACAAUUGAGUGAGAUUGCAAAACCAGGUUACUACAGCAUGUGGAAAUCUUAGAUGAUAUACUACAUGAAGUUGAAUUCCUUCCUUGGAGGCUGCUGCUGGACAUCCAAUACGUGGUUUUGACAGCUCCCAGAUCCAGCCUGGAAUAGCACAGAAGGAGUUACAACACGGACCGUGUCUUGAGAACCCUCCAAAUGCCGGGUGCAGUGGCUCACACCUAUAAUCCCAGCACUUUGGGAGGCCAAGGUGGGAGUAUCACCUGAGGUCAGGAGUUCGAGACCAGCCUGACCAAUAUGAUGAAACCCCGUC
rnacentral:lncRNA from 1 species